UACGUAGGGUGCGAGCGUUGUCCGGAAUUACUGGGCGUAAAGAGCUCGUAGGUGGUUUGUCGCGUUGUUCGUGAAAACUCACAGCUCAACUGUGGGCGUGCGGGCGAUACGGGCAGACUGGAGUACUGCAGGGGAGACUGGAAUUCCUGGUGUAGCGGUGGAAUGCGCAGAUAUCAGGAGGAACACCGGUGGCGAAGGCGGGUCUCUGGGCAGUAACUGACGCUGAGGAGCGAAAGCGUGGGGAGCGAACAGGAUAGAUACCCUCGUAGC
rnacentral:rRNA from 1 species